rnacentral:tRNA from 1 species
GGGCCUGUAGCUCAGUGGGAGAGCACUUGCUUUGCACGCAAGGGGUCAGGAGUUCAAAUCUCCUCAGGUCCA